rnacentral:rRNA from 1 species
UGGCGGUGCCUGAUUCAUGCAAGUCGAGCGGACCGAACGGAAGCUUGCUUCUGUUCGGUUAGCGGCGGACGGGUGAGUAACACGUGGGUAACCUGCCCGUAAGACCGGGAUAACUCCGGGAAACCGGGGCUAAUACCGGAUAACACCGAAGACCGCAUGGUCUUUGGUUGAAAGGUGGCUUUUGCUACCACUUACGGAUGGGCCCGCGGCGCAUUAGCUAGUUGGUGAGGUAACGGCUCACCAAGGCGACGAUGCGUAGCCGGCCUGAGAGGGUGACCGGCCACACUGGGACUGAGACACGGCCCAGACUCCUACGGGAGGCAGCAGUAGGGAAUCUUCCGCAAUGGACGAAAGUCUGACGGAGCGACGCCGCGUGAGCGAAGAAGGUCUUCGGAUCGUAAAGCUCUGUUGUUAGGGAAGAAGAAGUACCGUUCGAAUAGGGCGGUACGGUGACGGUACCUAACGAGAAAGCCCCGGCUAACUACGUGCCAGCAGCCGCGGUAAUACGUAGGGGGCGAGCGUUGUCCGGAAUUAUUGGGCGUAAAGCGCGCGCAGGCGGUCCCUUAAGUCUGAUGUGAAAGCCCACGGCUCACCCGUGGAGGGUCAUUGGAAACUGGGGGGACUUGAGUGCAGAAGAGGAGAGCGGAAUUCCACGUGUAGCGGUGAAAUGCGUAGAGAUGUGGAGGAACACCAGUGGCGAAGCGGCUCUCUGGUCUGUAACUGACGCUGAGGCGCGAAAGCGUGGGGAGCAAACAGGAUUAGAUACCCUGGUAGUCCACGCCGUAAACGAUGAGUGCUAAGUGGUUA